AGCUCAGGAGACAGAUCGUUCACCACCCAAUAAACUGAUCAAGGUUCAAUUCCUCGUGGUAGGUGGCUGAUACAAAUUCUACUCCCAACUUGCACUGAGUGUAGGAGGUUUCUGUGGUUUUCUACUCCAUGUAACGCAAAUGCGAGUUAGUUCCAUCAAAAUAACCUACAAGCAGGUGAGGACUCAGUCACCUUUCUCAUCUUUUUCAUAAAGUGAUCACCUUUUCAUAGAUUUUUAGUAAAAAGGUUUAUAUAAGCUGUCAUUUUGCAAACAUGUUAAAUUCAGGACACUGGAAAUCGAGCCUCAUUCCUUGGUCGAUUCCAUGUGACUCAAGUUUCCAUUUGAAAUUCUUUUACUUACAUAAGACUUAAGAUUUGGACUCUAGAAUAAGUAAAGAUGGCAAUGCUAGUAAACUUUAAUCAGUGCUUAGAAUAAUGUGAGUUUCCAAAUAAGAUGGUUUUUUGGCACAGAUCAUGUGAUUCAACAUGUAUUUGUAUUUCUUAUCUGAUUACUGUAAGUUCAUCUUUAAUCCCAGUGGAAGAUUUACUACAAUACGCUGAUAUUUUAGGUAUAUUUUUUCAUAAUACAUAGAAUUUAGUAAAUCGGAUAAUUGGAUGUAAAAAUUGAUAAUAAAUUAUCUCAAAUUUCAUUUAAAA